rnacentral:lncRNA from 1 species
AAGAAAAUGUUUUUCUCAUUAAAACUGAUAGCCCUUUUUAUUGUUUUCAUUUAUUUAUUUGACAGAGAAAAAGAGACAGCGACAAGGGGAACACAGGCCAGGGGACCUGAGUCGAAUGCAGAUGCUUAAGGACUGAGCCACCCAGGCACCCUGAUGAUAGUCCUUUUUAAAAGUUCAGUCUCUUGGGAAUCAAGAGGAAAAACAAAGUCAUCCAUCUUCAACAAAUACACAAGAUUACACCUACCAACAGUAGUAAGUACAAAAUUGGUGAUGCUCUCCACGAGUAGAAUUCCAUUUAACUACCAAUUCCCAAGGAAGCCAAUGGUAUGAACAAAACCACAGUCACUAUUUCAGAGAACAUAUUGCUUUUUCCUUCUUUGAGAUAAUUCUAACAAAAGACUGUUUCACCUUACAUCUUAGAUCACAUGAUGGUGAGAAAACUCUAUAACUUAAAGGAUAGGAGUUUAUUACGGUAAGUAUAAAAUAGAACAAACAGUUGGGCUUCUACAGCCUUUUACAGGAAAACCUCUUCUGACCCUUCUAUAAACAAUCCCUUUGGUAAAGUCCCCAUUUUAUGUUGGUUUGCUCUGUCAUCUGUGUAGAGUUAUAGCUUGAAUAAAUUCUUCUUGAGGGUUUGAAGGUUGGCAUGGGAAUGCCUUUCUUUUCUAGAUCUUAUAAUGGAUGUGUGCAAUUCGUCAAGUGUGGAACAUAUGCCUUGCUUUAUUCACAAACUUUUAGAGAAGUUAAUUGCCAGCUAUCACCUUCAAAAGCUGGCACCAGAUUCUGAUAUUUAAAUCAGUUGAGGAAAAAUUAGUCAGGAAGCCUUUGCAUUUUAUUCCUAGUAAAUACAUUAAUUUAUUAUCAAAAUGAAAUUUAUUUAAAGAGCAUUUAAAAUUUUUCACUGCUUAUUAUUUUGCUUCAUUAAAUAUCUUGGUGAAGCUUUAGACUUUCACUGUGUCUAAAUUUUGGAGUGGGUGUGUGAAUUAAAGACCAAACAAGGCUGCCAGAUAAUAGCAGUUUAUAAAAACUUUAAUUGCAUUUUAUUUGUGUAAUAUUUAAUGGAAAAUUGUUUUUUGUAUGUACAUUAAAUUUGUGGUAUUUUUGCAUAUGUUGAAAAGCAUACCAUCUUCCAAAUGUUUACUUCAUAAAGAAAAAAGUUUAGGACUACAAAACAAACUCACUUUUAUUUAUUCGGUCUUAUUCUCUCUUUUAACUGUACUGUUGACACUUGUCAACACCUUGAAAACUCACUAAAAUGCAUUGUGCGUUCUGUUUUUGCAAUUUCUGGUUAUUAGAUGGUUAUGAAAAAUUAAAAAUAUCAUCUUUUUCCUGUUCAUGAUGUUCAGCUGCUGCGUAAAAGAACAGAUAUGAUAUUGGAUGAAAUACUAUAAGAAAAACCAUUUCUUGCUUCAUAGUAAUUGUUUCUGGG